rnacentral:lncRNA from 1 species
GUAAAUAUUAUACGAUGGGAGAUUUCGUAGUCCAGGAAGAAGAUGUCAAGGCUGGCAAAGAAAAGGCCGCAGGGAUGUACAAAGUUGUAGAAGCCUACCUCCUCCAAAACCCUGAUGCCUAUGCUUAGUGUGCUUGCUACCCGAAAUGAGUAACAUUGAGGCUGCCUAUUUUCUGCUGUUCUAACAAUAAAAGCCUAAACCACGCGUUGGGAGUGUUGUAAUUCAGUCAUCUUAAUAAAAAUGCUCAAUCCAGUUUGUUUCCUUUCAUUUUGGUUGUGGCCUAUUUCUGUGCAGUUAAUUUUGUGCAGUGGAAGUAAUUUCAGUGAUCAAGUUAAGUUUACAAACCAAGGUGCAUCGUAGUGCACAAACCAAACAAUUUACAAAUCAUUACGCUCGCAACAUGUGUGGGAACCAAUUGCUAACUGAGAAACAUAAUGCAGUAUCUUGCAUACCUAGGUGCUCUACUUCCAUGUUAAGUUCUCAACUGCUCUUAAAAGUUUAAGCUGUCUAAAAAGGGCCUAAAAGUAUUUGUAGAUGCAGAUGGUAUUAAUCUGGUUGAAGUAAUGUGCCCAUGCAUUUUGGUGCAAUAACAAUGAAACUGAUCUUGAGUUAUAGGUGAAGUUGGAUAAUGUGCAGGACUUGAAUAUCAGAUAAAUCAAAGUAUUUCGUUAAAGAAAUUGUGAAAAUUUUGAAAAGAAUGUUUCUAAGAGACAAUCUUGCACUAAUUGAUACAACCAAAUUUGGAUGCCUUCCUCUUCUUCCUUCUUGAAAGACAAUGGGCUUUGUUUAAUAUUUUUUUGAACAUGCCAUUAACUUAAUGCAUUAGGAGUUUUUCGUUAAAGUCGGAAAUAUGAUUAACAGUAUAUGUAAAUCAAAAAAUAAGUGGACUGGGAUUCAUUUUGAUGUAGCUUUUGGCAGAGCUGGAGUUUAUUUUUUGGGUGCAUUGAUGUUAGUUUGGGUCAGCCUUUCAAUGUUUUCAUUAGUUCCCAGUUUCAUUAUCAUGCAACAAAUCGUAAUAUGUCAGGGAUCCAACCCUUUUAGAUCCUUAAACUUUCAGUAUAUUCAGAAAAAAUAAUAAUUUUGCCUUGGCAAAAAAAAUUAAUUACUUAAAUAUUGUCUAGCACCAUAUGACUAGCCAUAAACAUCUAUAUAGUUUAACAUAACAAUUGCAAUGAGUCUUAUCUCAUCAAACGCUUAACUAUUCGUCUCAUUAUUGUAUAAUAACACUGCGAUUAAGCAGGUAAUCCCUAUUACAGUAAGGCCAAACCAAAGAGAAAAACUCACUCAUGAAAACAACAACAGUUGAAAGAUCAAACAAUACUAAACAUAGGCCUCCGGGUUCUGAAGGAGGUAGGCUUCCACAACCUUGUACAUUCCCAACACCUUUUCUUUGCCUACCUUAAUGUCCUCUUGUUUGAGCUCAAAAUCUCCCUUGGUGUAACACUUGGUUGUCAUCUUAGAAAUAGUCCCACCAUUUGCUGAUGCCUCAACUUAACUUCAUACGAUAUUUUUUCAAUCUUUUCCAUUAGUCCCUCCCCUUCAAUCAAGCUAUAGUUGUACGUAUAUGUCUUCUCAUUUAGCUCAUCAAUCCGGUGCUUCAGAUAGCCAAAAUUGUCACCUGCAGCAAAAAGAAAAUGAUAUCUUUCAUAUAUAUCUUUGUUUAAUGAUGUAACAAAUCAAACACAUGCAACAAGUUAAAAAUACCUUGAACAAAGUUGAUCUGUUUAAUGCUUCCAGCACCUCCAUCGCCUUGGAUGAGCUCGAUGCUCUUGAUAGCCUGUGGUAGGAGUUUUGGAAUCAAGUUAAGGGAGUCAAGGAUUGAAGCCUUAAAUAUUCUUGAUGGAGAAAUUGGAGAAGCAUACUCAUCGGUAAAAGUGAUAACACCCAUGACUAUUUUGUAGAGGUCUAAAGAUGAUUAGGGAGAAAAUAGAAAACUUGGGUUAUGUGCAGAGCUUGUUUGCAUAUUUUAGAUUUAUGAGAAGAUAUAGGAAGAAAGUUAGAUUUUCUAGUUUUUUUAACUGAUAAAUUACUUCUAAUUGGAUCAUUCCUUCUGCAGAUACCAAAGCAUAUAGACAACUAUAUUCGAUUCUUUGUCGAAUUUGCAUGUCCCAAGUCAUAACAAGCCAUUCCCAUUUAGUUGUGCAUCAAUUACCCAAAAGAUUUGAACACUUCCAAUACUACAAAUUCUUAGCAAAAAAUGACAGAUGGGAGAAUAAGCAGAUAAGAUAUUAUUUUGGUGCUUAGAAGGGACAGAACAGUUACACAGUCCCCUUUGUGAUAAAUCCUUGUUAAUUAAGAUGUACUACUAUUAUUUAUCAUUAAACAAGUCGUGGUGAUUGAUAAACUACAAUAAUUUGAUAAUUUAUGGAAUUCUAACUCACAUAUGUUUAAGGCAAUUGAGAUCCUUAAUUUUGUCCUAAGCAUAUUGCACAAUGGGAGGCAAUUAUUUCAGAAAAGUAAAACUCCAUUACUUCAAGUUAUAAAUACAUACCAUCUUCUCAUAUUCUGCAAACACAUUAUAACAAUCCUCUAUUACUUUCCCAGAGCUAAUUCAUCAUAAAAACUAGAAGAUGGGAAUCACCACUUUCACUGAUGAGUACAAUUACUCAAUCUCUCCAGCAAGACUAUUCAAGGGUUCGAUCCUUGACUCUCACAACUUGAUCCCAAAGCUCAUGCCACAGGCCAUUAAGAGCAUUGAAACUAUACAAGGAAAUGGAGGGACCGGCAGCAUCAAACAAAUCAACCUUGCCGGAGGUUAGAUUUCUAACUUUCUUGAUAAAAAACUAAAAAUUCUAUAGUAGUCCCUAAAACUUUUUCAUUAUCCGAUCACACUUUAAAAAACUUGAAUUUGACACAUGUUUCAUUACUUUAUUGCAGGUAGCACCUUUAGUUAUAUGAAGUACUACAUCGAUGAGCUGAACGAAGAGACUUACACCUAUAAUUACACUUUGGUUGAAGGAGAUGCCUUGACAAAGGGGCUUGAGAAGAUAACCUAUGAGAUUAAAUUUGAGGGCACACCUAAUGGUGGUACCAUCUCCAAGAUGACAAGUAAAUAUUAUACGAUGGGAGAUUUCGUAGUCCAGGAAGAAGAUGUCAAGGCUGGCAAAGAAAAGGCCGCAGGGAUGUACAAAGUUGUAGAAGCCUACCUCCUCCAAAACCCUGAUGCCUAUGCUUAGUGUGCUUGCUACCCGAAAUGAGUAACAUUGAGGCUGCCUAUUUUCUGCUGUUCUAACAAUAAAAGCCUAAACCACGCGUUGGGAGUGUUGUAAUUCAGUCAUCUUAAUAAAAAUGCUCAAUCCAGUUUGUUUCCUUUCAUUUUGGUUGUGGCCUAUUUUUGUGCAGUUACUAAAUUUUGGUUAAUGGAA